GAUGCUGACAGCUUGAGAUCGGAAGGUUUGGAAACAAUGAAUGCUACUCGGAGCGGAUAUACAAUACCCCGGCGGCCCAUGGUGGGGGGAGGUGGCAGCAGGAGGACAGAUGGUCUCCCUCAUGGUGGCUGAAAUAAAAGAGGGAAUUAGACUACUCCAAGGUGUACACUCUGACGGCAAUUACGGCAAAUAGAUUGGAAGUGGACCUCCAGGCACCCGGGGAGGCGGCUCCUGGGGGAAGAGCUCCACCUCACUGCAUCUGGAACCUUGUAAUGGUCGGAGUGAGACAAUCCAGAGAGUGUCAUGGCGUGACAUUUACUGCCCUUUCUCUGGAGAAACAGGUAAGCAGAGCACAGCAUCUACAAAGUAGUCCCCUUUGACACCAGCACUCUACAAAUCAAGUGUGA